rnacentral:misc_RNA from 1 species
AAAUGCGAUAAGUAGUGUGCAUUGCAGAAUUCAGUGAAUCAUCGAAUCUUUGAACGCACAUUGCGCCCUUUGGUAUUCCUUAGGGCAUGCCUGUUCGAGCGUCAUCUAAACCUUCAAGCCCUGCUUUGUGUUGGGUGCCUGUCCCGCCUCCGCGCGCGGACUCACCUCAAAUCCAUUGGCGGCCCCCGCGUCGGCCACGAGCGCAGCAGAAACGCGAACUCGUGAGCCCGUCCGGGCGGCUCCCAGAAGCUACACCCACCCAGUUUGACCUCGGAUCAGGUAGGGAUACCCGCUGAACUUAAGC